rnacentral:ncRNA from 2 species
UUCUGGAAGGGUUGACAGAUUGAGAGCUCUUUCUUGAUUCGGUGGAUGGUGCUGCAUGUCCGUUCUUAGUUGGUGGAGCGAUUUGUCUGGGUAAUUCCGAUAACGAACGAAACUCUAGCCUAUUACGUAGGUGCGUGAUUCUCUGCACGUUGCACCUUUCUUAGAGGGACAAGCGGCUCCUAGCCACACCAAACAGAGCAAUAACAGGUUUGUGAUGCCCAGGGAU